ensembl:snoRNA SNORA70 Small nucleolar RNA SNORA70
GUAUUUUAAGUUUAGCUAACCAGGUUCUUUUUCUCACUGGGGACCUGGUGAGUAAUGGCUGCAAACAAGUCUCUGGGAGUAGUGUGUGUAGCAGGAUGUUUGGUGGGCUGCCAAGAGGAUCCAUGGAGACAGUU